rnacentral:rRNA from 1 species
ACUCCUACGGGAGGCAGCAGUGGGGAAUUUUGCGCAAUGGGGGAAACCCUGACGCAGCAACGCCGCGUGGGUGAUGAAGGCCUUCGGGUCGUAAAGCUCUGUCUGGAGGGAAGAAAUGAUUGGGAGCUAAUACCUCUUGAUCUUGACGGUACCUCUGAAGGAAGCACCGGCUAACUCCGUGCCGCGCCGCGGUAAU